GAAAUGGCUGCAGGUGAAGGCUUGCAAGAAAACGCGGUGGAGAGGAACUGUACUCAAGGAGCUCUGCUUAAGGAGUUUUACCCGAGGAGCCUCAUCUGCACCUGGACUUCAAGCUGAUGCUGUAAAGAGGGGAGACUUUUGGUGACUUUGGGAAGAAUGGAGAAGCAAGCUGCGUUGUUGUGUGCAGCUCUGAGGAGAAGCCCACCUGGCAGAAGGAAACUGUGUCCUGGCCACAACCGUGUGAGUGAGCUUGGAAGUGAGUGCCUCAGUCCUACGUUAGCCUUGAGAGGCCUGCAGCCCCAGCCCACAUCUUGACUGAAACCUCAUGAGAAACCCUGA
rnacentral:lncRNA from 1 species